rnacentral:rRNA from 1 species
CAAAAACAUGUCCUUUUGUUAUAAAUAUAAGGUCUAACCUGCCCAAUGAUUUUAUUCAAUGGCCGCGGUAUAUUAACUGUGCUAAGGUAGCAUAAUCAUUUGUCUUUUAAUUAAAGGCUAGAAUGAAUGGUUGGACGAGGUAUAUUCUUUCUUUGAUUUAAUUUAUGAAUUUAAUUUUUUAGUCAAAAAGCUAAAAUUUAUUUAAGGGACGAGAAGACCCUAUAGAUCUUUAUUUAAUUGAUUAUUAUAUAUUUUAGUAUAUUAAUUGUUUUAAUAUUUAAUUAAAUUUGAUUGGGGUGAUUUUAGAAUUUUUAUUAACUUCUAUUUUUUUAAUUCAUUAAUUUAUGUUUUUUUGAUCCAAUUUUAUUGAUUAUAAGAUUAAGUUACCUUAGGGAUAACAGCGUAAUUCUUUUGGAGAGCUCAUAUCGAUGAAGGAGUUUGCGACCUCGAUGUUGGAUUAAAAUAAGUUUUGGGUGUAGGAGCUUAAAAACUAGGUCUGUUCGACCUUUAAUUUUUUACAUGAUCUGAGUU